UUACCAUGCAAGUCGAACGGUGAACCAGGAGCUUGCUCUUGGGGAUCAGUGGCGAACGGGUGAGUAACACGUGAGCAACCUGCCCCUGACUCUGGGAUAAGCGCUGGAAACGGCGUCUAAUACUGGAUACGAACAAGAAUCGCAUGGUUACUUGUUGGAAAGAUUUUUUGGUUGGGGAUGGGCUCGCGGCCUAUCAGCUUGUUGGUGAGGUAAUGGCUCACCAAGGCGUCGACGGGUAGCCGGCCUGAGAGGGUGACCGGCCACACUGGGACUGAGACACGGCCCAGACUCCUACGGGAGGCAGCAGUGGGGAAUAUUGCACAAUGGGCGGAAGCCUGAUGCAGCAACGCCGCGUGAGGGAUGACGGCCUUCGGGUUGUAAACCUCUUUUAGCAGGGAAGAAGCGAAAGUGACGGUACCUGCAGAAAAAGCGCCGGCUAACUACGUGCCAGCAGCCGCGGUAAUACGUAGGGCGCAAGCGUUAUCCGGAAUUAUUGGGCGUAAAGAGCUCGUAGGCGGUUUGUCGCGUCUGCUGUGAAAUCCCGAGGCUCAACCUCGGGCCUGCAGUGGGUACGGGCAGACUAGAGUGCGGUAGGGGAGAUUGGAAUUCCUGGUGUAGCGGUGGAAUGCGCAGAUAUCAGGAGGAACACCGAUGGCGAAGGCAGAUCUCUGGGCCGUAACUGACGCUGAGGAGCGAAAGGGUGGGGAGCAAACAGGCUUAGAUACCCUGGUAGUCCACCCCGUAAACGUUGGGAACUAGUUGUGGGGUCCAUUCCACGGAUUCCGUGACGCAGCUAACGCAUUAAGUUCCCCGCCUGGGGAGUACGGCCGCAAGGCUAAAACUCAAAGGAAUUGACGGGGACCCGCACAAGCGGCGGAGCAUGCGGAUUAAUUCGAUGCAACGCGAAGAACCUUACCAAGGCUUGACAUAUACGAGAACGGGCCAGAAAUGGUCAACUCUUUGGACACUCGUAAACAGGUGGUGCAUGGUUGUCGUCAGCUCGUGUCGUGAGAUGUUGGGUUAAGUCCCGCAACGAGCGCAACCCUCGUUCUAUGUUGCCAGCACGUAAUGGUGGGAACUCAUGGGAUACUGCCGGGGUCAACUCGGAGGAAGGUGGGGAUGACGUCAAAUCAUCAUGCCCCUUAUGUCUUGGGCUUCACGCAUGCUACAAUGGCCGGUACAAAGGGCUGCAAUACCGUGAGGUGGAGCGAAUCCCAAAAAGCCGGUCCCAGUUCGGAUUGAGGUCUGCAACUCGACCUCAUGAAGUCGGAGUCGCUAGUAAUCGCAGAUCAGCAACGCUGCGGUGAAUACGUUCCCGGGUCUUGUACACACCGCCCGUCAAGUCAUGAAAGUCGGUAACACCUGAAGCCGGUGGCCUAACCCUUGUGGAGGGAGCCGUCGAAGGUGGGAUCGGUAAUUAGGACUAAGUCGUAACAAGAG
rnacentral:rRNA from 1 species